ensembl:lncRNA novel transcript
UAGAGACACACGGCCUGGAAGACAACCAGCACUAUCCACCAGACACAUUGAACGAGGCCUAAUAGGACCACCCGGCCCUAGUUAAGCCACCAGAUGGCUGGAACCACAUGGGUGGCCACAGGAAAGACCAAAAGAAGAACUGCUAGGGUGUGUCUGGUCCAAAUUGCUGACUCACAGAAUUGUGAGCAAAUAAAAUUGUUGUUUUACGCCACUAAGUCCUGGAAGUUGUUCAUUACACAGUAAUAGAUAACUGACAAAAGUGAGAGGGAAAAACAUGGAGAUACAUGUAGAACUUGAUUCAUAUCUCCCCUAGAAAAGAGUUUGAUGUGACUUGUAAAUAUACAAAUUAUCUCUCUCCUAUAGCUGCCCAAGAUGCCGAAAGAAGACCAAGGGCAAGACGGGGCCCCAGCCCCUGCUAUCUUGAAGCAACAGGCCAAGAAAGUGGUGAAUCCCCUGUUGAGUAAAGGCCUAAGAAUUCUGGCACUGGACAGGACAUCCAGCCCAAAAGGGACCUCACCCACUUUGUGAAAUGGCCCCACUAUGUCAGGCUGCAGCAGCAAAGAGUUAUCCUCUACAAGAGCCUAAAAGUGCCUCCUGUGAUGAACCAGUUCACCCAGGCCCUGGGACCACCAAACAGCUACUCAACUACAUAAGCUGGCCCAUAAUACAGACCAGAGACAAAGCAAGAGAAGAGGCAGAGACUUGGCCCAGGCUGAGAAGAAAGCUGUUGGCAAAGGGGAUGUCCCCACUAAGAGACCACCUGUCCUUCAAGCUGGGGUUAACACCGUCACCACCUUGGUGGAGAAGAAGAAGGCUCAGCUGGCGGUGACUGCACAUGACGUGGAUCCCAUCAAGCUGGUUGUCUUCCUGCCUGCCCUGUCUCAUAAAAUGGGGGUCCCUGACUGCGCUGUCAAGGGAAAGGCAAGACUGGUUCACAGGAUGACCCACACCACCAUCACCUUCACACAGAUUAACUCGGAAGACAAAAGGGCUUUGGCUAAGAUGGUGGAAGCUAUCAGGACCAAUUACAAUGACAGACACGAUGAGAUCUGCUGUCACUGGGGGGGCAAUGUCCUUGGUCCCAAGUCUGUGGCUCACACUGCCAAGCUGGAAAAGGCAAAGGCUAAAGAACCUGCCACUAAACUGGAUUAAAUGUACACGGUUGAGUUUUCUGUACAUAAAAAUAAUUAAAAUAAUACAAAUUAUCCUUUGAAAAAUAUAUAAAUUAAUAAUAUACACAACUCAAAUGUUUGUGUUUAAAAUACUGGUUGAGAUCACCAUCUUAAUUUGAAUAAAA